rnacentral:rRNA from 1 species
AUGUGCUUUGCAUUUCCUUUUGUGAUAUGGUUCAACCUGUACAUGGCGAUGCAUGAAGUUUGUAUACUAGUUUUGAGGAGGUUUCUUCCUGUAAUCUUUGGAGGGAAGCCUGGGGACCCGAUCGGGCUGGGUGGCAUCAUUCCUGCUGUCAAGCCUGAGGAACCCACAGUACCAAUUCUUCCUGUUGGGGUGCAGCCAAUGGUGCCAAGGGCCCAAGAGCCAAUACAGGUCGCAGCUGUGAACCUUGACAUUGUCAGUUCUAGCAGCGAUGAUUACAGUAAGCGACGUCGGGAGCUCAGAUGA